AGGGGGAUAGUCUAGUAGUGGAUAAGGUUGUUUGGCUCCGAAAGCCAAAAGGUUCUGGGUUCAAACCCCGAUGUCUUCCCCUG